rnacentral:rRNA from 1 species
AACGAACGCUGGCGGCGUGCCUAACACAUGCAAGUCGUGCGAGAAAGUUCCUUCGGGAGCGAGUAAAGCGGCGCACGGGUGAGUAACACGUAGGUAACCUGCCCCCCAGUCUGGAACAACUAGAGGAAACUCUAGCUAAUGCCGGAUGAGACCACGAUCCCUUCGGGGGUUGCGGCCAAAGAUGGCCUCUACUUGUAAGCUAUCGCUGAGGGAUGGGCCUGCGGGCCAUUAGCUUGUUGGUGAGGUAACGGCUCACCAAGGCUGUGAUGGCUAGCUGGUCUGAGAGGAUGACCAGCCACACUGGGACUGAAACACGGCCCAGACUCCUACGGGAGGCAGCAGUGGGGAAUAUUGCGCAAUGGGCGAAAGCCUGACGCAGCGACGCCGCGUGGGUGAUGAAGGCCU